rnacentral:rRNA from 1 species
GACGAACGCUGGCGGCGUGCCUAAUACAUGCAAGUCGAACGCAGUGGGGACGGGUGAGUAACACGUGGGUAACCUACCAUCAGAGGGGAUACCACUUGGCAACAGGUGCUAAACCGAUAUUUAUGGAUGGACCCGCGGUGCAUUAGCUAGUUGGUGAGGUAACGGCUCCCCAAGGCCACGAUCUCUAGCUGGUCGUAGAGGAGGAGCAGCCACACGGGGACUGAGACACGGCCCAGACUCCUACGGGAGGCAGCAGUGGGGAAUAUUGCACAAUGGGAGCAAGCCGGAUGCAGCCAUGCCGCGUGUAUGAAGAAGGCCUUAGGGUUGUAAAGUACUUUCAUCGGGGAGGCGUUACCCGCAGAAGAAGCACCGGCUAACUCCGUGCCAGCAGCCGCGGUAAUUC